AUUGAACGCUGGCGGCAUGCCUACACAUGCAAGUCGAACGGCAGCACGGGAGCAAUCCUGGUGGCGAGUGGCGAACGGGUGAGUAAAGUAUCGGAACGUGCCCAGUCGUGGGGGAUAACGUAGCGAAAGUUACGCUAAUACCGCAUACGAUCUAUGGAUGAAAGCGGGGGAUCGCAAGACCUCGCGCGAUUGGAGCGGCCGAUAUCAGAUUAGGUAGUUGGUGGGGUAAAGGCUCACCAAGCCGACGAUCUGUAGCUGGUCUGCGAGGACGACCAGCCACACUGGGACUGAGACACGGCCCAGACUCCUACGGGAGGCAGCAGUGGAGAAUUGUGGACAAUGGGCGCAAGCCUGAUCCAGCCAUGCCGCGUGCAGGAUGAAGGCCUUCGGGUUGUAAACUGCUUUUGUACGGAUCGAAAAGUUCUCUCUUAAUACGGGGGGCUCAUGACGGUACCGUAAGAAUAAGCACCGGCUAACUACGUGCCAGCCGCCGCCGUAA
rnacentral:rRNA from 1 species